UAGUGCGGGGUUGUACACGACCUCAGUUGAGCAUUCACGGUGGCCUUCAUUACUAGCAAAUUGGUGAUGACCAAAAGCACCAAAAUGACCAAAGGUUGCACCACCACGAUCAUAGUAACCACCACGGUGACCAUCUUGGUGGUCAUGCCAGUAACCAAAAUCAGCAUCGCCAUCAAAGCCUGCAAUCCCUGCAAUAGGAACACGCCUUGCACGGCCAAGAAAUUGUGGCCUCUUAUGAGCUGCACCAAAAUUGCCAAAACCAACACCAUGACCUCGACCAGCACCACGUCCUCUGCCACCAUCUCCAACAGCAGCAUGACGUGCCGCCUCGGCUUGAAGACGCGCAGCCUCAGCCGCCAAGGCAGCAGGAUCAUCAUCCUCAACACGUGGUUCAUCAUCUUGUUGCUACUCCAUGUUAGGUGCAUGUUGUAGAUUACUCUGAAGCAAUUCUAGCUGCUGCAUCAAUUGGGUUAUUUGUGCUUGCAUCUCCUGGAAAUCCGCAACCGAAAUAGCAUCACCAGAGUUCGAAUGAGAACCAUCAGGCUUCUUCCUCCUGCAGCAGGUAGAACUUUUCUUCCCUUAGCCACCCCAGCGCUGCCCAGCCACGGCUUCCUCCGACUGAGCUACGGAAGGCACCAGGGCUUGUUCUGCUUCAUCGUUGCAGCCUCUAAUCCUACCUCCACCAACUCCAGCAGUGAUGGCAGUCCCUAGCUCCCACUGCCAUGAGUCCAUGCACGGUGCCAACAACCUAUUUGGCCAAUUGCCACAAAGGUACCAUGUAUACUGCACUUUUAUUAUGGUUGUGUUCUACCACAAAGGUACGAUGUAUGCUGCACUUUUGUUAUGGUUGUGUUCUAGCAUGUUUUAGAGCAAAGUUUGUAAUAUAAGUUUCAAUCGUGUCAAUAAAUUUAGAAUAUUCAGCGAAUCUAUGUUCUGAAUCAGAUAUUCAGAUAACUGAAUGUGUUAUUUAGAUAUCUCUACUAGUUUAUUAAAUCAUUUUCUCCUAUUAGGCAUAGGAUCAGAGCCCAUAAUUAUCUGAAUCCGAUAGCUGAACUAGUUAUCCAUAAGCGCAUGAUCAAAGUUCAAAGAAAUAAGCAUGUGUCAUUUGUAUGCUUACCAACAUGUUAUUACAUCGAUGCUGCUGUAUGCUAUUAGAGAACAACUUGUUAGUUGCCCUUCAUUAUUUCUGCAGUUCGUAAUGCAUGUGAAACAAAAAUAACAUAGCCUUUGUUAGGACUAUGCUGCUUCAGGAGACGAAAACGACGGACACACUAGUGCUCCUGCUCCAGAAGCUCAAGCUGUGAGGACUAAGGAGCUCAAGGACCGCUUUGUCGCUACCGCCAACAACUUCUGGUGAAGCUGAUGAAGAAACCAUCAAGACCAGUUUUCACGACCAAGAUGGAAUUUGAGUGGAGUGCAAGUUCGAUGGGAUGAUCAACACCAAAACAACCUUUGCUGCAGUGAUGCAUAGCUCGUUACAUUUUGAUGUAUUCGAACUAGCAAGUGUGUGUCGGAUAGCUUAUGCGUUUCAGUUGUGUGUGUUAUCAACUAAGUUUGUUAUUAGAUGGUUUCAUUAACGAUUUCUACGAACAAAGAAUAUUUUAGAUUAAUGGAUGUCUAAAUGCUUCACU